CGGACGGGUGAGUAAUGUCUGGGAAACUGCCCGAUGGAGGGGGAUAACUACUGGAAACGGUAGCUAAUACCGCAUAACGUCGCAAGACCAAAGCGGGGGACCUCCGGGCCUCUUGCCAUCGGAUGUGCCCAGAUGGGAUUAGCUAGUAGGUGGGGUAACGGCUCACCUAGGCGACGAUCCCUAGCUGGUCUGAGAGGAUGACCAGCCACACUGGAACUGAGACACGGUCCAG
rnacentral:rRNA from 1 species